rnacentral:pre_miRNA from 1 species
UAUUAAAAAUUUUAUCCAUUUAUACUGUUAAAAAAUAAGUUAACAGAAUAAUUAGACAAUAACAAUGGCAUGCCACAUGUAAUAUCUUAUGUUGAAGUACAGGGACAAAUUUUAAACAGUAAAAAUAAAUGAAAUCUUUAAUA